GGGAAAAUCGCAAAAGUGGAAAGCUUAAAACAUGCAGUCGCCUGCUGAAGGAAGGUGCUUGCACCGGGUGGAUGCCUGGCGAACGGGUGAGUAACACGUGAGUAACCUGCCCCUGACUUCGGGAUAAGCCCGGGAAACUGGGUCUAAUACCGGAUACGACUGCCGGACGCAUGUCUGGUGGUGGAAAGUUUUUUCGGUUGGGGAUGGGCUCACGGCCUAUCAGGUUGUUGGUGAGGUAAUGGCUCACCAAGACGACGACGGGUAGCCGGCCUGAGAGGGCGACCGGCCACACUGGGACUGAAACACGGCCCAAACUCCUACGGGAGGCAGCAGUGGGGAAUAUUGCACAAUGGGGGAAACCCUGAUGCAGCGACGCAGCGUGCGGGAUGACGGCCUUCGGGUUGUAAACCGCUUUCAGCAGGGAAGAAGCGCAAGUGACGGUACCUGCAGAAGAAGUACCGGCUAGCUACGUGCCACACCCGCGGUAAUACGUAGGGUACGAGCGUUGUCCGGAAUUAUUGGGCGAAAAGAGCUCGUAGGUGGUUGGUCACGUCUGCUGUGGAAACGCAACGCUUAACGUUUGCGCGUGCACGGCUACGGGCCUGACUAGAAGUGCCUUAGGGAGUCUGGAAUUCCUGGUGUACGGUGAAAUGCCCAAAUAUCAGGAGAACACCCGGUGGCAAAGCGGGACUCUGGCCUGAACCUG
rnacentral:rRNA from 1 species